CCUGAUGCUACGGACCUUCUCCUCCUCCCUUGGUCCGGCAGCAUGCGACGUAGGCCUCUCCUCCUCCCUGGCCGGCGUCGCAGCCCAUACGCGGCCCUCCCUCCUCCCUGGGCCAGCGUUGCGC
rnacentral:sRNA from 14 species